UUUCCGUAGGUGAACCUGCGGAAGGAUCAUUAUUGAAUAAACCUGAUGGAUUGUUGCUGGCUCUCUAGGGAGCAUGUGCACGCUUGUCAUCUUUAUAUCUCCACCUGUGCACUUUUUGUAGAUCUGGAUAUCUUUCUAAAUGCCUGGCAUUUAGGUUCGGGGAUUGACUUCGUCUUUCCUUACAUUUCCAGACCUAUGUUUUCUUCAUAUACACCAUUGUAUGUUAUAGAAUGUAAUGAAAAGGCCUUUGUGCUACAAACCUAUACAACUUUCAGCAACGGAUCUCUUGGCUCUC
rnacentral:rRNA from 1 species